rnacentral:rRNA from 1 species
UACAGAGGUCUCAAGCGUUGUUCGGAUUCAUUGGGCGUAAAGGGCGCGUAGGCUGCGGGGCAAGUCGGGUGUGAAAUCUCAGAGCUCAACUCUGAAACUGCACUCGAUACUGCUUUGCUCGAGGACUGGAGAGGAGAUUGGAAUUCACGGUGUAGCAGUGAAAUGCGUAGAUAUCGUGAGGAAGACCAGUGGCGAAGGCGGAUCUCUGGACAGUUCCUGACGCUGAGGCGCGAAGGCCAGGGGAGCAAACGGGGAUUAGAACCGGUACCGUCA